rnacentral:tRNA from 2 species
AGGCCCGUAGCACAACUGGCUAGUGCGCCGGUCUCCAAAACCGGAGGUUGAAGGUUCGAGUCCUUCCGGGCCUGCAA